rnacentral:lncRNA from 10 species
CAAACCAAGAUGGUGACAGGUACGACCUCUGUUCAUUCUCACUGCUACACUCCCACCAGCUCUGCCUAUGGAAUAGUCAUUCUUUUAUUCCUCUACUUUCUUAAAAAACUUGCUUUCACUUUACUCUAUGGACUCGCCCUGAAUUCUUUCUUGUGCAAGAUCCAAGAACCCUCUCUUGGGUCUGGAUCGGGACCUCUUUCCUGUAACACUGGGAGGCCAAUGUGUGUGGAUGACAUGGAAUUACUCAAAAUGAUCUAG